GGGAGUAUAGCUCAGUGGUAAAGUGUAUGUUUAGCAUGCAUGAGGUCCUGGAUUCAAUCUCUGGUACCUCCA
rnacentral:tRNA from 1 species